AGAGUUUGAUCAUGGCUCAGGAUGAACGCUGGCGGUCUGCUUAACACAUGCAAGUCGAACGGAAUCUUUCGGGAUUUAGUGGCGGACGGGUGAGUAACGCGUGAGAAUCUGCCUUCAGGUUCGGGACAACAGUUGGAAACGGCUGCUAAUACCGGAUGUGCCGAGAGGUGAAAGCUUAAGUGCCUGGAGAUGAGCUCGCGUCUGAUUAGCUAGUAGGAGUGGUAACGGCACCCCUAGGCGACGAUCAGUAGCUGGUCUGAGAGGAUGAUCAGCCACACUGGGACUGAGACACGGCCCAGACUCCUACGGGAGGCAGCAGUGGGGAAUUCUCCGCAAUGGGCGCAAGCCUGACGGAGCAAGACCGCGUGAGGGAAGAAGGUCUGUGGAUUGUAAACCUCUUUUGAUCGGGAAGAAGACAGUGACGGUACCGAUCGUAUCAGCU
rnacentral:rRNA from 1 species